AUUGAACGCUGGCGGCAUGCCUUACACAUGCAAGUCGAACGGUAACGGGCCUUCGGGUGCCGACGAGUGGCGAACGGGUGAGUAAUACAUCGGAACGUGCCCGAUCGUGGGGGAUAACGAGGCGAAAGCUUUGCUAAUACCCCAUACGAUCUACGGAUGAAAGCAGGGGACCGAAAGGCCUUGCGCGGACGGAGCGGCCGAUGGCAGAUUAGGUAGUUGGUGGGAUAAAAGCUUACCAAGCCGACGAUCUGUAGCUGGUCUGAGAGGAUGAUCAGCCACACUGGGACUGAGACACGGCCCAGACUCCUACGGGAGGCAGCAGUGGGGAAUUUUGGACAAAGGGCGCAAGCCUGAUCCAGCCAUGCCGCGUGCAGGAUGAAGGCCUUCGGGUUGUAAACUGCUUUUGUACGGAACGAAAAGCCUUCUUUUAAUACAGGAGGGUCAUGACGGUACCGUAAGAAUAAGCACCGGCUAACUACGUG
rnacentral:rRNA from 1 species